UUGACCUCGGAUCAGGUAGGAAUACGCGCUGAACUUAAGCA
rnacentral:rRNA from 1 species